ensembl:lncRNA
AAAGAACUCAGCUGUCUCUCAGCUCAUAGGCAUCCUUUUUAUUCAAAAUAUUCUGAUUUGCAACUAAUGACUUUUGGUGUUUUUUAGUUAUCAGUUGGCCUAUUUUUGUUGGUGGAGUUUAUUUUUUCUGUAAACAUUCUUAUUCAUUUUCAAGUUAAAUAAAAUCUGACUUUUAUCCCCAAAGGAACUUAGAUUUCAAACCCGUGACUUGAGCAGGAUUUUGGUUGGAGUUUGGGUUUGACUCAUCUCUUUGAUUAAAGACUUAUCUUCUUCUAAAUAACAUGUCUUAAUAGUUACUCUUUCCCUUUCUAGACCUUCUAAAUUUAGAUAAAUGAGACCAAUUAUUGCUUCCAGAAUGUUCAGUUUCUACUCUGGUCCUAGAAUUUGAUCUCGAAGAGAUGUUGAUUUUCUUCCUGUGGAAUCAUUUAAAUUCUGCAUUUUCCCAGUUGGUGUCUUUAUGGAAGGGGAGGAGGACUGUGGGCGGGGCAGGCUGGCUGCUUGCUAACCAGGAGACACAAGGAGGGGAUUUCAGCCUCCUGGGAGCCUGGUUGUGACCCACAGAGACCUCACCAGCUGCAGGCAGAGGGAUGGCCUGCAGCAAGGUAGCUGGUGCGUGAACAAGCCUAUGAGAUCAUCAUGUCUGUGGACACCCAGGUGUACUUCCCACAUUCCUCAUAGUGGAGAGAAAGGCUUCCCUCACAGGUUUUCAACAAUUUGUGCCCAAUAUGAAGCCAAAGAAACCUUCUUGACUCCAUUCAUGUGGCUAUUGGUCUUCACGCUGUAGCAGAUGUCUUUAAAAGAGAUGGUCUUCAGCCCUUCACCUCAGCUAAAGGUUGGUACAUGCCAAGGAUAGGAGGUUAACAAUGAAAGGAAGGGUUGUGGGCCAACCAUGAGGGGAAUUUAGGAAGGAGGUGCCCACAACUUAUGGUGUCUGGUUGGCUAUAACGUAUCCAAGAAUAAUUUAUUGAGUACUUACAUGUAUUAGCCACCGUGAUAGGUGUAAUGGGAUAUGCAUAGGUAAACACCGCUAUCAAAGAGUUUAUAGCCUUCUGUGGAAAUGACAGACCUGCAAAUAACUGUUAUGAAGACAGAAGGAGGGACAUGAGUACUGAGGAUUGCCAUGAUAAGUCCAGCAGCCCAGGACCCUAACAGAAGGCCCCCUGUACACCAGGCUACAUGUUCUCAAGCUUCCUUUUGGUAAGGUCAAGUAGUUGGGGAGGGCAGUGUAGGGAAUUCUUUGUGGGAGUUUACUGAAAUAAGAUUAUUCUGAUUGCAGAAGAAGUCAGAUCUCGUGGGGAGGAAUUUGAAUAAAGCAUGUGCCUACUCGCUGACCUUUCCUGACAAGGCACAUGUGUGUUGAAGGGGGAGAAUGCAUCAAGCGCAAGAUGUUAGCCUUCACUCUUCAGUGCCUCUGUGGCUGCAAAGACUGAAGAAUCAUGUUAUGCAUACCCCGGGAAAGUUUCUGACCUAAGAGUGAGCGAGUUUACGAUGGAUGGCUGAGUAUCAGGAUCAGAUUAAGUAACAGGAGUCAACUAUUAAGGGGAACUAGGCAUCAUUUUUUACCCAGGUAUGUAUGGUUCUUUAGAUCUUGUUACAUAAUGUGUCGCUUCCUUCACUUGUCUGUUUUAGAGUGAUUACUUAAAAUUGUAGUGUAUCAGACUGGAAAGUGACCUUAAUCAUGUUAGAAGACUCUCAGUAACAUAACAGCCUAAGUUAAUGGGAUUGAUCAUCCCCCCUUUAACUUAGAACAUGUAGACAUG